CGCCUAGUCGAGCGGAUGACGGGAGCUUGCUCCUUGAUUCAGCGGCGGACGGGUGAGUAAUGCCUAGGAAUCUGCCUGGUAGUGGGGGACAACGUUUCGAAAGGAACGCUAAUACCGCAUACGUCCUACGGGAGAAAGCAGGGGACCUUCGGGCCUUGCGCUAUCAGAUGAGCCUAGGUCGGAUUAGCUAGUUGGUGAGGUAAUGGCUCACCAAGGCGACGAUCCGUAACUGGUCUGAGAGGAUGAUCAGUCACACUGGAACUGAGACACGGUCCAGACUCCUACGGGAGGCAGCAGUGGGGAAUAUUGGACAAUGGGCGAAAGCCUGAUCCAGCCAUGCCGCGUGUGUGAAGAAGGUCUUCGGAUUGUAAAGCACUUUAAGUUGGGAGGAAGGGCAGUAAGUUAAUACCUUGCUGUUUUGACGUUACCGACAGAAUAAGCACCGGCUAACUCUGUGCCAGCAGCCGCGGUAAUACAUAGGGUGCAAGCGUUAAUCGGAAUUACUGGGCGUAAAGCGCGCGUAGGUGGUUCGUUAAGUUAGAUGUGAAAGCCCCGGGCUCAACCUGGGAACUGCAUCCAAAACUGGCGAGCUAGAGUACUGCAGAGGGUGGUGGAAUUUCCUGUGUAGCGGUGAAAUGCGUAUAUUUAGGAAGGAACACCAGUGGCGAAGGCGACCUCCUGGACUGACUCUGACACUGAGGUGCAAAAGCGUGGGGAGCAAACAGGAUAAGAUACCCUGGUAGUCCACGCCCUAAACGAUGUCAACUAGCCGUGGGAAU
rnacentral:rRNA from 1 species